rnacentral:rRNA from 1 species
AGUGAACGCUGGCGGUAGGCCUAACACAUGCAAGUCGAACGGCAGCACAGUAAGAGCUUGCUCUUACGGGUGGCGAGUGGCGGACGGGUGAGGAAUACAUCGGAAUCUACUUUUUCGUGGGGGAUAACGUAGGGAAACUUACGCUAAUACCGCAUACGACCUACGGGCGAAAGCAGGGGAUCUUCGGACCUUGCGCGAUUGAAUGAGCCGAUGUCGGAUUAGCUAGUUGGCGGGGUAAAGGCCCACCAAGGCGACGAUCCGUAGCCGGUCUGAGAGGCUGAUCAGCCACACUGGAACUGAGACACGGUCCAGACUCCUACGGGAGGAAGCAGUGGGGAAUAUUGGACAAUGGGCGCAAGCCUGAUCCAGCCAUACCGCGUGGGUGAAGAAGGCCUUCGGGUUGUAAAGCCCUUUUGUUGGGAAAGAAAAGCAGCAGGUUAAUACCCCGCUGUUCUGACGGUACCCAAAGAAUAAGCACCGGCUAACUUCGUG